UGCGGCGGAUUAGGUAGUUGGUGGGGUAACGGCCUACCAAGCCGAUGAUCCGUAGGGGGCGUGAGAGCGUGGCCCCCCACACUGGCACUGAGAUACGGGCCAGACUCCUACGGGAGGCAGCAGUGAGGAAUAUUGCACAAUGGGCGCAAGCCUGAUGCAGCAACGCCGCGUGCGGGACGAAGGCCUUCGGGUCGUAAACCGCUUUUCUGGGGAAAGAGCAAGGACGGUACCUCAGGAAUAAGUCUCGGCUAACUACGUGCCAGCAGCCGCGGUAAAACGUAGGAGGCGAGCGUUAUCCGGAUUUACUGGGCGUAAAGCGCACGCAGGCGGCUCCGUGAGUCGGACAUGAAAGCUCCUGGCUUAACUGGGAGAGGCUGUUCGAUACUGCGGGGCUUGAGGUUGGGAGAGGGACGCGGAAUUCCCGGUGUAGUGGUGGAAUGCGUAGAUAUCGGGAGGAACACCAGUGGCGCAAGCGGCGUCCUGGCCCACACCUGACGCUGAGGUGCGAAAGCGUGGGUAGCAAACAGGAUUAGAUACCCUGGUAGUCCACGCUGUAAACGAUGUCAACUGGGUGUCGGUAGUUUUACACUAUCGGUGCCGAAGCUAACGCG
rnacentral:rRNA from 1 species